rnacentral:rRNA from 1 species
CAGUCGCCGCGGGAAUACGGAGGAUCCAAGCGUUAUCCGGAAUCAUUGGGUUUAAAGGGUCCGUAGGCGGUCUUGUAAGUCAGUGGUGAAAGCCCAUCGCUCAACGGUGGAACGGCCAUUGAUACUGCAGGACUUGAAUUAUUGGGAAGUAACUAGAAUAUGUAGUGUAGCGGUGAAAUGCUUAGAGAUUACAUGGAAUACCAAUUGCGAAGGCAGGUUACUACCAAUUGAUUGACGCUGAUGGACGAAAGCGUGGGUAGCGAACAGGAUUAGAGACCCCCGUAGUCCCUGUCUCUUAUAA